UGGUAAUACCGGAUGCUCCGCUCCAUCGCAUGGUGGGGUGGGAAAUGCUUUUGCGGCAUGGGAUGGGGUCGCGUCCUAUCAGCUUGUUGGCGGGGUGAUGGCCCACCAAGGCGUUGACGGGUAGCCGGCCUGAGAGGGUGACCGGCCACAUUGGGACUGAGAUACGGCCCAGACUCCUACGGGAGGCAGCAGUGGGGAAUAUUGCACAAUGGGCGCAAGCCUGAUGCAGCGACGCCGCGUGCGGGAUGGAGGCCUUCGGGUUGUAAACCGCUUUUGUUCAAGGGCAAGGCACGGUUUCGGCCGUGUUGAGUGGAUUGUUCGAAUAAGCACCGGCUAACUACGUGCCAGCAGCCGCGGUAAUACGUAGGGUGCGAGCGUUAUCCGGAUUUAUUGGGCGUAAAGGGCUCGUAGGCGGUUCGUCGCGUCCGGUGUGAAAGUCCAUCGCCUAACGGUGGAUCUGCGCCGGGUACGGGCGGGCUGGAGUGCGGUAGGGGAGACUGGAAUUCCCGGUGUAACGGUGGAAUGUGUAGAUAUCGGAAAAAAAACA
rnacentral:rRNA from 1 species